rnacentral:lncRNA from 1 species
AAACUGAACACAACCUUGAUCCAUCAAACCCUGGAUACCAGCCCGCAGCAGAUCACAACCGUUCUCAGCCUCUGCACAGCCCACACAGUCUUCAUCACAGCCCGGAUGAACACCACUACUUAGUAGACGGCCCUUAACCACCAUCAGAGAAGUCUGAAUCUCACUGACAUCGACAACCAAAUCCUCAGAUUCGACCCCUUCGAUACAAUUCACCCUAU